UAUCUCAGAAAUAUGCCCUUCCCCCCACCCUUACUGAUGAUCCAGCUCUGCUCCAGGCAUUUUGCCAGUUGCUGGGGAAACAGCAAUGAAAAGAUAACCUCAUUUUGGAGGAAAGAUGAAAACAAGCAAACCGAAUAAUUACAUAUUAUCAUGACUGUUCUGAAUGACACAAGUGGGGUACUGACGCUGAGAAUAUCUCGGGUGCUAUUAUACUUGAGAUGGUGUUGAGGCAUAUGGAAGGAUAUUGGGGUGUCUGCCUAUGUGUUUAAAUCGGUGGUUCUUAUUUUCUUGAGCUGAAUAAGAUAUCACUGGAAGUUUCCCACAUUCUCUGAGAAGCCAUCUGGAAGGUCUUGAUAGAGCUGUCCUCCACCUGAACUGUGGCCCUCAGCGGAGGGUGAGUGAGCCCCAUGCUGGGCUCUGACACUUCCUUGAGCACCCGGGGUUCCUGCUGCUCUCCACGUGCCUGGCAGGCUUCCACACUGAUACCUUAUCGUUUCAGCCCUGCACCAUACUUCAGCCCUGCACCAUACGGUGAGCUCUUGGAAGAUUUUUUUAAGUGACAAGGAUCCAAAUUUAAGUGAUAUCCAACUGAAUUGGCAAUGGGUGAUUUUCAUGCCUGGCCGUGGCCCGUCCUGCCUGGCAGCUGCCAGCAUCCUUUAAUGAGAAUAAAACAAAUCUCCAUUUCAGAAAAUCUCAAAUGGUGUGGGUGCGUGUAUGGGUGGUAGAGACUAUGUUACAAUCUCAUUCCUUUCUGGGGGAUGCAAUAUGUUUUCUGAACAGCCCAUUUGAUUGUAAGACACUUGAAGGCAGGAAUUGUCUCGUGUCUAAUCCCUAGUGUGUGCCGAGCAUAGCACCAGACACAACAAACGUUCAGUGUUUUGAUGAAUGAACGGAGGACUCAGAAAGGACUAGACAACAUGAGGUACAGUAAGAAAAACAGGCUCUCAAGCCAAUUAGAUCUGAGUUUACAUUACAUCAUGUGUCAUGGACUGAAUAUGUGACCCCAAAAAAGGCAUAUGUUGAAACCCUAUUCCUCCUACCCCAUGUGAUGGUUUUAGGAGAUGGGCUUUGGGAGGCAAUGAAGAUAAGAUGAGGUCCUGAGGGUGGAAUCCCCAUUUAUGGGAUUAGUGCCCUUCUAAGAAUCACAGGAGAGCUUGUUUCUCUACUUUCCAUCAUAUGGGGAUGCUAGGAGAAGUUGGUAGUCUGCAGCCCCAAAGAAGGUCUCACCAGAACCCGACCAUGAUGGCACCUGAUCUCAGACUUCCAGCUUCCAGAACUGUGAGAAAUACUUGUUUAUCAGGAAGGAAAAGAGGUAGGGGAGGGUAAAUUAGGAGGUUGGGAUUAGCAGAUACACAUUACUAUCUAUAAAACAGAAAAGAAGGACUUUAUGGCACAGGAUACUAUAUUUAAUACCUUGUAAUAACCUAUAAUGGAAAAGAAUCUGGAAAAGAAUAGAUACACAUAUAUGUUUAACUGAAUCACUUUGCAGUACACUAGAAAGUAACAACAUUGUAAAUCAACUAUAC
ensembl:lncRNA